CCCUCACCAGAGUAACAAUUGGAGGGCAAGUCUGGUGCCAGCAGCCGCGGUAAUUCCAGCUCCAAUAGCGUAUAUUAAACUUGUUGCAGUUAAAAAGCUCGUAGUUGAAUUUUUGCGUGGUGUUAAUAUUGACUGAUGUCGAGAUUGCACUUCGCUUUUGGGAUUUAUCCCUUUUUACUUUGAGAAAAUUAGAGUGUUUCAAGCAGACUUUUGUCUUGAAUACUUCAGCAUGGAAUAAUAGAGUAGGACUUUGGUUCUAUUUUGUUGGUUUGUGAACCUUAGUAAUGGUUAAUAGGAACGGUUGGGGGCAUUCGUAUUUAACAGUCAGAGGUGAAAUUCUUAGAUUUGUUAAAGACGAACUA
rnacentral:rRNA from 1 species